rnacentral:lncRNA from 1 species
UAUAUGGAGGUUCCCAGGCUAGGGAUCUAAUCGGAGCUGUGGCCACCAGCCUACGCCAGAGCCACAGCAACACGGGAUCUGAACUGCAUGUGCAACCUACACCACAGUUCAUGGCACCACCAGAUCCUUAACCCACUGAGUGAGGCCAGGGAUUGAACCCGUGUCCUCAUGGAUGCUAGCUGGGUUCGUGAACCACUGAGCCACGACGGGAACUCCAUAUGUGGUCUUUUGUAAUUGACUCAGCAUUUUGUUUUCAACGUUCUUCCAUGUUACAGCAUAUAUCAAUAUUUCAUUUUUUUUAAAUUGCAGAAUGGUUUUCCAUUGACUGAAUAUUUUAUUUAUCUACCCAUCAAUUGAUGGAUAUUUGGGUUAUUUCACUUUUUUUGGCUAUUAUGAAUAAUGCUGUAAGGAACAUUCAAGUAUAAGUUUUUGUAUGGACAUAUAUUUUCACUUUUUGGGGGUGUAUACCUUGGAGUGGUAUUGCCAUGUCAUAUGGUAAGGUAACUCUAUGUUAAUCUUUGAGGAACUGCUAGACUUUUUUCCAUAGUGGCCGCACCAUUUAUAUUCUUAUCUGUGCUUUAUGAGGGUUCUAGUUUCAAUUUAACUUUAAACAGUGUCAUCAAUCAGAUAAAUACUACUUGCUUUGUCUAACCCAGAGAUUCUUCUAGGUGCUGGGAAUACAGCACUGAACAUGUCUGACGAGUAUGCUACCCUCAAAGACCAUACACUUUAGUACAGAGAGACAGACAAAAAAAUAAGUCAAUAACUAAGAAUAAUUUCAGAGCCUGACAAGUGUUAUGAAUGUCUGGGAAAAUUUCUGUGAGAAAAGAAACAGAUGAACUGAGACUCAGAAAAGUAGCUGGAGAGAGAGUAAGGGAAGCAAAAACUCCAUUAAGUGUCACGUUUCAAUAAGUUUUUAAGGGGAGAAUGCUGUUGUGAUAGUGGCUAAGACUUAAAAUGGACCAGUUUUUACUUUUUUCGUGACCUAUUACAUCCUUUGCCUGCUUUUCUGUUAGGCUUGUUUUAUUGAUUUGUAGUAGUUCUGUAUAUUUUGGAUUCUAAUUCAAUAAAACAACGACAAAAGGCAUGGAAAGACAAUUAGAAAAAGCAGUACAAAUAACUCUUAAACAUGCAAACAAAAUUGCCCACCCUUACUCAAGAUAAAAAUAACUAUGGUUUAGCAAGUGUUUACUGUGUGCCAGGCACAAUUCUAGGUGCUUCAAAUGUAUUAACUCACCUGAUUUUCAUAAGAACAUUUGAAAUUGGACUACUAUUGCCCCACCCGACUUAUGAGGAAGUAGAGGCACAGAAGUUAAGUUACUUGCCCAUCGUUGCACAGUGAAUGCGUAACCAAAUGAGUGGCAGAGCCAGGAGAUAUAGCCCCAGAACCCACACGCUUAACCACUCCAUUCUACUGAAUAAGAGUCAGAACAAAGUAAAACUUCACGGAACCACCUUUUUAAAAAUCUAUCAGAUUGGCAGAGAUCAAAAAGUUUGGUAACAGCGAUGAAAGGGGUGUAGAGACAGGCAGUCUUACAAAUUGCUGUUGGAAAUAUAAAUUGUUAUAACCUUCUUUGGCAACAUCUAUCAAAAUUUUGGUAAUGUACAUUAUGACUGUAGCUAACACUGCUGUAUGAUAUGUAGGAAAGUUGUCAAGAGAGUAUAUACUAUGAGUUUUCAUCAUGAGAAGAAAAUUUUUUCCUUUUAUCUUUUUAUUGGAUCGAUAUGAGAAGAUGGUUAUUAGCUUGAAUCUAUUGUAGUAAUCACUUUACUAGAUAUGUAAAUUAAACCAUCAUGCUGUAUACCUUAAACUUAUACAGUGAUAUAUUUCCCAAUAACACUGGGAAAAUAUAACUAGAAAAAAUAAAUAAAUGACAAAAGAAAUUUUUUAAUCCUUUGACCCAGCAGUUACAAUUCUUAGAAUUAAGCUUUUAUAUAUAUUUGCAUGUAAAAAUUUUUUAUGUAUUUGAAAAUAAUUAUAGCAUUUAUUAUAAGCUUGGAAAUAAUCUAAAUGUUCAUUAGUAGGGAACUGGUUGAAUGAAGUAUGUUACCUCAUUCAAUAUAAUACUAUACGACCCAUAAAAGAGAAUGAUGAAGCUCUUUAUGCCCUAAUAUAGAACUAGUUUCCAGAGUAUGUUUUUUUCUUUUUUCUUUUUGUCUUUUGUCUUUUUAGGGCUGCACCCACGGCAUAUAGAGGUUCCCAGGCUAGGGGUCAAAUGGGAGCUGUAGCUGCUGGCCUACACCACAGCCACAGACAGCAAUGCCGGAUCCGAGCCACGUCUGCAACCUCCACCACAGCUCAUGGGAAUGCCAGAUCCUUGACCCACUGAGUGAGGCCAGGGAUCAAACCCGCAACCUCGUGGUUACUAGUCGGAUUCAUUUCUGCUGUGCUGCAAUGGGAACUCCGUAUAUGUAUUAACAAAGGGAAAAACAAUCGAAAUAUGUAUUAAUUUUGUGUGUGUAUUUCUAAUAGUUUGUGUAUAUGUGUAUAUACACCUAUAUAUGUAAAAUAUCUCCAGGCAUACAUAAGAAACAGAGGAAAUUAUAUGCCUUUGGAGAAGAACAAGGUGUUUGCGUUCAAGAAUAGUAAAACAACUUUAGGAGUUCCCUUGUGGUAUAGCAGGUUAAGGAUCUAGCAUUGUCUCUGCUGUGGUGUGGGUUCGAUCUCUAGCCUGGGAACUUUUGCAUGCUGUGUGUGUGGACAGAAAAACACUUUAAAAUGUACUUUUUGUAUUUUGGACUGUACGACCUUACAUUAAAAAUGUUAAAAUGAAAAUAUGCUUAAAAAGAAAUCUAGAUGGUAUUAAUUAAGAUUAAUAAGGGGUCAUUUGAACUGGUUCUGCAGUUGGUUUUUCAGAAUAGUGAAGGUCUCAAGAAUGUUCAAGGUGUUUGUUUUGUUAAGUUUUCCCAAAAGGUAGCAGCUAAAGAAUGCAUUCUUGGUUGGUGCCGCCCAGUUGCAAUGGUAGAUGGAAACAUUCCAAUAGCAGUGCCAAUGCCAUGUAUUUAGCACUCUGAGGAAGAACAGACUGUGCCAUCCUCUCUUUGUUUCUCUUCCCUUUAUCUUUCAAGAACACUGUAGAGAUAGUGUUUCUCUCACAGUUUUAAAGAAACGUUUGCAAUCCACAUAAACAAUUGCUACACUAAACUACAGCUUCUCAUUUGUAGUGCUUGUAUUAUAUCUCCUUAGUAUCAUCAGAAACUCCAGACAUACUUAGGUAAACAGAAGAUUUGGGCUGCAAAUGGGAAAUGAUAAGAGUAUAUACUUUGCAGGGAUAUGAAAAAUCUCUCAUCAAAUCACAUUCUUAGGAUAUAACCAAGUUAUCUACAUAAAUAUAAUUAAAUCUAUUGUUUGCUAGUGUUGUACCUUGCUGUUCUUUGUUCUUCGUGAGAUUAAAUUGGACUGUGCUAAUGUCAAGUGACAAGAAUACAUAUACAUAACACUAGUUCUUUGUACCAAAGCACGAAAUAUUUGGAGAGAACAGAGGCCAGGAGUGGUGGCUGGCACUGUAUCAUCUAGACUGGAAAUGGAUGGUACUAAUCUAAGAAGGUUUUAUAAGAUGAAGAGAAUAAAGUAGAAUUUUGAAGGUGGAAAGGAAAUGGAUCAUUUUUGGGAGACUGUUAAUAGACUUUUCAGGGAAGUCACAUGUAAAGGAUGACAAAUUUUUGCCAAAGUAGAAGAAAAGUGAAAGUAAUAAGGUAAGAUGGAGGUUGUGGGGGGAGCUUUACACUCAUGAGAGAGGAAUCAUUCAGAAUAUGGGUUUUAGAGUCAUACAUGGAUUUGAGUCCCAGUUUUACUACUUCUCAGGUAGGUUGUCUUGGAGAAGUGACUUAAUGACUUUUCUGUGUUGCUUUUUAAAUUUCCAAAAUGGAGAUAAUUAUAGUGCUUAACCUCAGGCAAUAGUUGUGCGGAUAAAAUGAAAUUAGGCAUGAACACAUAUAGCCAAGUGCCUUGUACAUAGUAGGUGCUCAGUAGAUAUACAUUACUGCUCUUAAUGUUUGAGUUGAGUUGAGAACCAAUUGAAUCUUCUAGGUCUUGGAGUAUCAAAAAGCAAUAUGAUAUAUAAAGAGAGGUGUACUCAGAAAAUCUGUCACUUGUACAAGUCUAUAGGUUGAGUAAGUAAUAUCCAUUUAGUGGCAAUUCAAUUAAAAUAAGAUUCAAAAGAGUGAGGAAGGAUAAGGAAAUAACUUUUUAAUACAAAUAUUUUGUCUUUCCUUUCACUACCCCCACCAUGUAACUAACUUCGCGUUUACCUUGAGAGAGAUUGAAUGUGAUAAUGAGAGAAUACAUAGGAGCUCUUGAGAUAUAAGAAAUACUCAAGAAAUGCUAAUUUUACUCAUAUAAUUCUUUAUCUGCCCUUGCCAAAGGAUGACAUGGGAAAUAACUCUUCAGAAACAAGAUUCUAGAAAGUAAAGGAUAAAUGGGAAAGAUUGAGGGUAGAGGCAAACACUGAUUACCAGAUAGUUAGGUUGUAAACUCCAGUUGUGUUGAAUGAGCAGUUAUAACUUCUUAUACAAUCAAAGUGAACAAGAUUUAACGUGAGCAGACUAGAGAGAAAAGUCAAAGAUUUAUGGGGAGUUUAAAAACUUGGACACCGGAGAACAUAUCGGUCUGGCUGACUGAUAGGAGUGUUAGGAAAGAUGUUUUGGAUGUGUUUAGUUUUGGAUGACUGUAUAACAUCUAAGUAUAUGCCUUGUGUGUAUAUAUUUCUUGUGUAACAAAAAAUGAAAGUCUGAGGAUAGGAUAGGAUAAGAGAAAGGGAUAAUGUUCGCCAAUGAUUCUUAAAUAUUCCAAGACUGUAUUUCUAUCUUCCUGUUUAUAGAAUUGAGAUAAUAAACUCCUGACAUCAAAUACAUUUAUACUCCAUUUGAAGUAUUUUUCUGGCUUAAAAUUCUUAGUAUAAAGCAAAAGCUUUAGUAGACGUGUGCAGUGUUCUGUUAUCUGUCAAACUUGUGAUUCCCAUUUCUGGGCUACAGGGAGCACUUUGGAUGGUGGGCCAUUCAGAUGCCUUUUUGUAAAUACGAGUAUUGACAGAGGGAUUGUUUUUUAUGCUUUUUGUGUUCAUAGACCUGUCCUUUGGCUUUUUAUCUUAAAUAGUAAAGAAGAUAGUGAAGAUAAAUAAUUGUGAUGUGUCUAUUAUUAUGCUGGUAUUUAAAAUAUCUUCCAGAAAAAUUUUUCUGUAGAUAGAAAUAAAGCAGGAAUUUUUCCAGGAUGGGGUUUUCUUUCGAAGCACUGGAAAUGUAUUCAUUUUGUUUUAGAUGUUACUUAAAAUGCAGUUAUUCAGUAGUAUUCUUUUGAUCAUAUGCAAAUAAUACUGUCCUCCAUAUGCAGGCUUUUUAGCAAUUAUUUGUUAGAGGCAAUGUGUAACAAUAGAUAGCAUCUUUUUUUCAAGUCUUUCCUGCUUGGCUUUUAUAUUAUUACUUACAUGUGCAUUAGGGACUUAUUAGUGACUCCUAGCACACAUUCUUCCAUCCCUUAGCUAUAGCAAAACCUACAAAUAAUUUUUUCUCCUUUCCUUUCAAAAAUUGGCUGUUUUUCUUUCCUAAGUCCUUGAUUUUCUUGGUGCAUUGACUAUAAUUUUAUAACCAUAGUGUAUUGUAUCUUUCUAUAUCAAGAAAAUUUUUAUUUGAAAAACAUUAGUUUUGGAGUUUUCCUGAUGGCUCAGUGGGUUAAGGAUAGGCAUUGUCACUGCUGUGGCUCAGGUCAUUGCUUUGGUAUGGGUUUGAUCCCUGGCCAGGAACCUCUGCAUGCUGUGAGCAUGGUCAAAAAAAAAAAAAGAGACAAUAUUAGUUUUAGGAGGUUCAUGGCACAGCAGGUUAAGGAUCCAGUGUUGUCUAAUACAGCAGCUUAGGCCACUGCUAUGGCACCAGUUCAAUCCCUGACCCAGGAACUUA